UACGGAGGUUGCAAGCGUUAUCCGGAUUCACUGGGUUUAAAGGGUGCGUAGGUGGGCAGUUAAGUCAGUGGUGAAAUCUCCGGGCUUAACCCGGAAACUGCCAUUGAUACUAUCUGUCUUGAAUACCGUGGAGGUGAGCGGAAUAUGUCAUGUAGCGGUGAAAUGCUUAGAUAUGACAUAGAACACCAAUUGCGAAGGCAGCUCACUACACGAAUAUUGACACUGAGGCACGAAAGCGUGGGGAUCAAACAGG
rnacentral:rRNA from 1 species